UCGGGAAUUUUGGGCAAUGGGCGAAAGCCUGACCCAGCAACGCCGCGUGAGGGAUGAAGUAUUUCGGUAUGUAAACCUCGAAAGAAUGGGAAGAAUAAAUGACGGUACCAUUUAUAAGCUCCGGCUAACUACGUGCCAGCAGCCGCGGUAAUACGUAGGGAGCAAGCGUUGUUCGGAUUUACUGGGCGUAAAGGGCGCGUAGGCGGCGCGGUAAGUCACUUGUGAAAUCUCUGAGCUUAACUCAGAACGGCCAAGUGAUACUGCUGUGCUAGAGUGCGGAAGAGGCAACCGGAAUUCUUGGUGUAGCGGUGAAAUGCGUAGAUAUCAAGAGGAACACCUGAGGCGAAGGCGGGUUGCUGGACCGACACUGACGCUGAUGCGCGAAAGCCAGGGGAGCAAACGG
rnacentral:rRNA from 1 species